AGUCGAGUUGUUUGGGAAUGCAGCUCUAAGUGGGUGGUAAAUUCCAUCUAAAGCUAAAUAUUGGCGAGAGACCGAUAGCGAACAAGUACAGUGAUGGAAAGAUGAAAAGCACUUUGAAAAGAGAGUGAAACAGCACGUGAAAUUGUUGAAAGGGAAGGGCUUGCAAGCAGACACGGUUUUACCGGGCCAGCGUCAAAUAAACGGGGGGGAAAAGGGGGAAAGAAUGUGGCGCGUGCCUUCGGGUUCGCGUGUUAUAGCUUUCUCUAAUACCCCCAUGUUUGUUUGAGGCCUGCGAUUCUAGGACGCUGGCGUAAUGGUUGCAAGCCGCCCGUCUUGAAACACGGACCAAGGAGUCUAACCUCUAUGCGAGUGUUUGGGUGCAAAACCCCAGCGCGGAAUGAAAGUAAGAGGUUGGAGCCGCAAGGCGCACAAUCGACCGACCCUGAAGUGCUCGGACGGGUUUGAGUAGGAGCAUAGCUGUUGGGACCCGAAAGAUGGUGAACUAUGCCUGGAUAGGGUGAAGCCAGAGGAAACUCUGGUGGAGGCUCGCAGCGGUUCUGACGUGCAAAUCGAUCGUCGAAUCUGGGUAUAGGGGCGAAAGACUAAUCGAAC
rnacentral:rRNA from 1 species